GGAAGCUCUCUGAUGGGUCAGGGUCCUGGGGUGUGAGUCCCUAACACGCAGAAUCACGGUCAGCCACGGGAGAAUGAUAGCAAACAAGGCCAGGGACCAUUUUGGCAUUUUGGUCUGAUUUAUGUAAAAGUGGAGGUCUUUUUAGGGUUUCAAGGAAAUUCUUGCCUUGAAAACCAGAAGCAGCUAAAUCAAUCCUUAAGAAUCGCCGCAGAGGUCAGAAGCUGUCCUUGCUGCUCCCAGGGUUGUUUUUCUUCUCUUUCAGCUUCCGAGGUGGAGGAAAGCACAAGGCUGGCACAAACGUCCUGUCAAGGCCUUCAACUGAUCCAGUGAGACCCACCCACAUGAGGAAGGGCAGUCUGCUUGAUCAAGUCUAUCCGUUAAAUACUAUUCAUCCAAAAAUCACCCUUGCACAAAUACCUGCAAUAAUUUUUGGCCAAGUAUCUGGGCACCGUGUGGCCGUGUGGAUCUGACACAUAAGACUACCCAUUAAUGUUACUCAAAAGACUCAUAUUUAA